rnacentral:rRNA from 1 species
GACGGGGGAUGCAAGCGUUAUCCGGCGUCACUGGGCGGAAAGCGUCUGUAGGUGGUGAUGCAAGUCACUGGUGCAAAACUCUGGCUCAACCGGAGGAAAGCCAGUGAAACUGCAUGACUAGAGUGUGGGAGAGGUAGAAGGAAUUCCCUGAGUAGCGGUGAAAUGCGUAGAUACAGGGAAGAACACCGGAGGCGAAAGCGUUCUACUGGAACACAACUGACACUGAGAGACGAAAGCGAGGGGAGCGAAUGGG